rnacentral:rRNA from 1 species
UACGGGGGGAGCAAACGUUGUUCGGAAUCACUGGGCGUAAAGGGUGUGUAGGCGGUUUUCUAAGUCUGGUGUGAAAUCUCCCGGCUCAACUGGGAGGGUGCGCCGAAAACUGGAAGGCUAGAGUGCGGGAUGGGAGAGUGGAAUUCCUGGUGUAGCGGUGAAAUGCGCAGAUAUCAGGAGGAACACCAGUGGCGAAAGCGGCUUCCUGGUCCAGCACCGACGUUCAGGCACGAAAGCGUGGGGAGCAACCAGG